AGGACGAACGCUGGCGGCGUGCUUAACACAUGCAAGUCGAACGGUAAGGCCCCUUCGGGGGUACACGAGUGGCGAACGGGUGAGUAACACGUGAGCAACCUGCCCUUGACAUUGGAAUAACAGUUGGAAACAGCUGCUAAUACCGGGUAUGACACAUCUUCGCAUGGGGGGUGUGUGGAAAGCCUUGGCGGUCAAGGAUGGGCUCACGGCCUAUCAGCUAGUUGGUGAGGUAAUGGCUCACCAAGGCUUCGACGGGUA
rnacentral:rRNA from 1 species